ACGCUGGUCCCGGUAGAACGCUUCCUCAUAUAUUUGAGAAUAUGCUCCGGUCCGAUGAGACAUGUGGAAGCGUCGCAGGCACCGGCGGUACGUCAUCAUGAGCCCUUUUCAACGAGAGCUUUCUUGACGUCACUGUUCUGCAUUCUGCAGCGUUACGAACAGCGCGUGAGCAGCCUACACGAACUGUUGAGGCUGCUGAACUGUUGAACUGUUCAAAGCCGGUAAACCGCGACGGCGCACUUGGAACUGUAAUUUUGGGCACUAAUCUUGUUCUAUAGAUAAGCGCGUCCUGAACGCAUGUUUUCUUUUUUGUUCCUUUUAGCAAUAGAAACAAAUCUUGCGCAGGCUAUGUCCAUCUAAUGAGUUUUGGUGGAUCUGUACGGCUAGCAUUUGCUGUCAUUUUUGCUUGACGUGUCACCAACCCAAGCAAGGCGAGUGCUAGUUUCAGUUUCAAAGAACAUGCGCGCUUCUAACGGUUGCCGGAGAUUCUAACUUAUUUUUUUUUAUUUCUGUUUUUUUUUUUUUGUGAAUUUUAAAUCGGUCGAAGCGCGGGAAGUGGUUGUCUUCGUGCGUCCGUCGAGUUCACCGCCCCUCACCCUUGCCACUCGAUCAGCGAUGUCACAAGUUGCAUCGCGCUUCGUUAUCUGCUUCGGUUGUCCUAUCAACCAUGAAGAUGGGAAAGAUAAGACACAGGAGCUUGUUCCGGCGUGCAAGGAACGAAUGAGGCACUAAACCAGGUCAACCAAGCACAAGACAAAGAUAGCUAAAACGGGGCGUCACAUGCGUUGCGCGGCUCUGUGGUGUUCUAACACCGGGAAUUCCACUUCUGCGAAGUUUUGCACGUUUCCUAAGCACAGCAGACAUGGUCGUGCUAGAGACUAAGCGACAGACGCCGAUGUAUGGCCUGGAUAGUAUGAGAUACUGGGAGAGUCCUGCCCACUGAUCCAAGUUUCCUUGUAGCUGGGCCUCAAGAUAUGUGCUCUCUACUGUCCUGCCGAGCAGACAAAACGGGCAGCAAACUGGUUCAGACCGAGGAAACAACCCAACACAAAUGACAUCAGCAGUGACUAACCAUCAGGGAAAAAUACAAAACUGGGCGCGCAGGGAGACAAGAAGCCAAAAGGCACGAAGCAAUAUCCUUCGCAUGCUCUGCGAUUCCAAAACGAGUAUGAUCUUCCGGUAAGCGAAAAUUUGUAUCAAUGAAGUAUGAUAGAAGGCUGCACAUGUAGCCCCCUGCUUGAAUAACUCGCCCUCGUAUAGCGCGCCCUUAUCUCCAUAUGCUCAAUCCAGUAAUCAUUUUUUUUGUUUAAAGGAAGUUCUACAUUCAUCGAAAAGGAGAAUUACAUCUGUACUACCUGCACCAUGCCGAAUUAUGCUACAAUUGUUUGCUACCCCGCCGUCGUAGUGGAGUGGGCUUGGCUUGGAGCUGCGUAGCCCGAGGAUGCAGGAUCGAAUCUCUGCUCCGGCGGCGGCAUUUCAAUGAAAGCUAAAUGCAAGCGUACCAAAUGCAGCCAAUAAUUGGCUGUGCAUUAAAGAAGGCAGGGAGCUUCCAGGCUACCCCCCUUCCUUCUAUGGCGUGCCCCAUACUCACAUCGUGGUUUCGGCACAUAAAACUCCAGAAUUUAUAUUCCAGGUUGUUCGCCAAAUAAAGUCAUUUCCUUUUUUGAAACGCUAUGCUUUGCGUAGUCAUCACUCCUACACAAGAUGCAUAGCGCACUGACACUCAUUCGGUUUGGAAAUAUAUUGGCCCUGUCAAUGAAGAGUAAUUACCAGCGACAAAAGUACCGCGAGGAGAACAGCCAAAAACAUGAAGGUUAUGUUUUACAUCUCUGUACUGGUUUCGUCUCUCUAGCUGUCGAGGCAAGUUAAUAGAGGGAUAAUAUACUGCCUAAAGCAGAAGUUGCGUAAUAAGUAGCAGUUCGAAUUUCCUCUGUUCUUCUUGUGUCGUACCCAGACCUUAUUGUUGUAGUUGCUCUGUUUAACGUUUGGGCUGGUGGUUUCCCAAACAUCAUAAAUAGGCACUACAUUGUUUUGUUGCAUAUCGUUUCAGUGGAGGAAUAGACAGUCUGGGUGCUUUUACUCGGAUUUUCUUUAGCAUUAGGUAAAAUAAAACGGCCUGUGGCUUAAUCUCCACCACAUAGCUCGUUUCAGUGCAAGGUGCUGAUGUGUACUGAAAAAAACUGUACCUGAAUUUAUAUAGGAUUUUUGUCGUUUGGAGUUCCUAUUAAAAGGUUACGUUUGCUUUUGUAAAGGACGGCUGCUAAUACACCAUAAAUUACCAUAUUAUACUUAACCUAUCUUUAUAUUCGUUUGUUUACAAUGUUCGUCGUGAGAAACCUAAACUAAAGUGGAGUAAUCUGUCGGGCACCUAGCAUUCAUAACAGCUACCCUGCGGUUCGCAGUAAAACUCCACUCUGCGCUAUAUUUUUCCUACUAGGUAAGUGUACCCUUCGGCACUUUAUCCGGUAAUAUAUUUUAGGUAUUCUCAAACUUUUAGUAGCAAGUACUGAGAAACCUUCUCGAGUAUUUUUGGAAACUCAUAUUAGGAACUAUGAUUGCACAAGUGUCUAGGAAACAACUUCUUUAUUGUGACUAUUCAACUAAUACCGUCUUCCUAAUGAAGAUCUUACUGAGUGAUACAAAACAGUACUUCGGGGCUAAAUUAUUCCUAGAAUAGGUCCCGCAAUGAAAAAAAAGGUGCUACAGUUUAUCAGAUUUCCGGCAUAUCACAACUGCGUGUGGGUAAAAAAACGUAAGGUAAUUGUAAAACAACUUCGACCUUG